AACACCAAAUAAUCCUGGUCCAUCAACCAGUUCUACCUUUAUACAUUUUGGCGAUGAAAAUAAUGAAUUGGGUGCAAUUCAGUACCGUCAGACAUCUGAAAAUUCUCAAAUAAGGUUAAAUGAUCCUGUAGCACGCAAACAUGGUUUGUUGAAAAAUGUUGGUGUACAUAAGAGUUCACAACUGUCUCCUGUCUCCAGAAUUCUGUAUAAGCAAGCUUUGUAUUACGAGAAGAAAGCUUCCAUACUCUCCAAACGGAAAAUGGAUUGACAACGUAAAAUCCAAACUAUCGAAAAAUGGUCAAAAGAAAAAUGCUUUCAAAAUUUGA